UGGGGAAUAUUGCGCAAUGGGGGCAACCCUGACGCAGCCAUGCCGCGUGUGUGAAGAAGGCCUUCGGGUUGUAAAGCACUUUCAGUGGGGAGGAAAGGGUGCCGGCUAAUAUCCGGUGCAGUUGACGCUACCCACAGAAGAAGCACCGGCUAAUUCCGUGCCAGCAGCCGCGGUAAUACGGAAGGUGCAAGCGUUAAUCGGAAUUACUGGGCGUAAAGCGCGCGUAGGCGGCUUGGUAAGUCGGGUGUGAAAGCCCCGGGCUCAACCUGGGAACUGCACUCGAUACUGCCGGGCUAGAGUACGAAAGAGGGGGGUGGAAUUCCAGGUGUAGCGGUGAAAUGCGUAGAGAUCUGGAGGAACAUCGGUGGCGAAGGCGGCCCCCUGG
rnacentral:rRNA from 1 species